rnacentral:rRNA from 1 species
AUACGUAGGGGACGAGCGUUGUCCGGAAUUACUGGGCGUAAAGGGCGCGCAGGCGGCCGUCCAAGUCCGGUGUUAAAUGGUCGGGCUCAACCCGAUCAUGCGCUGGCAACUGGGCGGCUGGAGUCCCGGAGGGGAUGCCGGAAUUCCAGGUGUAGGGGUGAAAUCUGUAGAUAUCUGGAAGAACACCGAUGGCGAAGGCAGGCAUCUGGCCGGAGACUGACGCUGAGGCGCGAAGGCGCGGGGAGCGAACAGGUUUAGAUACCCUGGUAGUCCGCGCAGUAAACGAUGCGCACCAGGUGUCGGGCGGCAGCGCCCGGUACCGGAGCAAACGCGAUGAGUGCGCCGCCUGGGGAGUAUGCCCGCAAGGGUGAAACUUAAAGGAAUGGACGGGG